rnacentral:rRNA from 1 species
CCUACGGGAGGCAGCAGUGGGGAAUAUUGCGCAAUGGGCGAAAGCCUGACGCAGCGACGCCGCGUGAGGGAUGAAGGUCUUCGGAUCGUAAACCUCUGUCAGCAGGGAAGAACGGUCACGGGGCUAAUCAGCAGUGAAUUGACGGUACCGGCAAAGGAAGCACCGGCUAACUCCGUGCCAGCAGCCGCGGUAAUACGGAGGGGGCGAGCGUUAAUCGGAAUUACUGGGCGGAAAGCGCUCGUAGGCGGUAUGUCAAGUCAAGGGUGAAAUCCCCGCGCUCAACGUGGGAACUGCCUUUGAAACUGGCAACCUGGAUUGUGUGAGAGCCUAGUGGAUUUCCAGGUGU